GACGAACCGUGCGAACGUUGUUCGGAAUCACUGGGCUUAAAGGGCGCGUAGGCGGGCCUCCAAGUCCGGGGUGAAAUCCUCCAGCCUAACUGGAGAAGAGCCUCGGAGACUGGGGGCCUCGAGGAGGGUAGGGGCAAGCGGAACUAUGGGUGGAGCGGUGAAAUGCAUUGAUAUCCAUAGGAACGCCGGUGGCGAAGGCGGCUUGCUGGACCCUUUCUGACGCUGAGGCGCGAAAGCCAGGGGAGCAAACAGG
rnacentral:rRNA from 1 species